GUUCCAUCUGUGCUGACUCGAACUAGUUUAUAGGAGUUAAGACCCACAGGCUGAUAAACGCGUGUCAUUUCAUCUUUAGACGAGGUCAGUUGUCGUCGUUUUGAUAAAAGCCAUUUGCUCAUUCUCCCACUCUUAAGCCGACGCGAGCCGUAUUUAAGCUGUCUCCUACCACGGGUAUUUGUAAUCGUAUUCGAAUCUUUUUUUUCUUUCUAAUACAAUACAGUAUUAGUUUGUAAUUUAUCACUUUUGUUUCAUUUCUUUAUAAUCGCACUAGUGCUGAUUGUUUACAUUUUAUUAAUCGUAAAUGUAUUUUUCUUUUUGGAAAACAUUAGAAAAUUAAGGAAAUCAAUGACGAUGUAUCAAACGACCUAUUACCAGAGUUUCAUUAUAAUAUAAUUAGUUAUAUAUAUAUAUAUAUAUAGAAUUUUAAUUUAUCUUAAUCUACGCAUAAGAUUAUUCCUAGUGCAGUUUAUAUUGUUUAGAUGGUAUUGCGUUUGAGAAUUAGGGGAGUUCAAUUUAUUAGGAUUGAGUGGUAUUCAUGUCGAACUAUCGAAUAGUCUCUAAGUCAUAAACUAGUACUACACAUGUAUUAAUUUAAAAAUUUGCUGCAUUUAUUUGGCAAAAAAAAAGUUUGCUGUACUCUAAAAUAAAAUUAAAAUCUCUAUAUAUUCAAAGGAUCACAUCAGCUAAUUAAAUGUUUCCAAAUUUGAGUGUUAUAAAAUUUUCCAGAAAUAACGUUGAUAGCUGAGAGGGACCUUUGAAAAUCAUCACAUCUUAUAAUUAUAUGUUCACAAAUUAUUUUAUUAAACCCCAUUUGCGUGUUUAUGUAUAUUUAAUUAUUUAUAUACAAAUUGAAAAGCCUUUCAACAAAUCAUCAAUAAGGUUUAAACCUAAAUUAACAAUCUAUAGCGAAAUCAUUCCUCCUUAACCUAGAAUCUAAAUCCAGAAGACGAAUCGGCUAAUCAAACGACUAACGAAGAAACAAUCUGAGGAUUCGGGAAAAGAACUUUUACCUUCUCUGCGUCGCUUUCGCUUCUCUGAAUUCAAAUUAGUGCUCCGAUCUCGAAAAGGGAAGAUAAUGAAAGUAAUCUCACGUGUAGGGCUGUUGAUAUUUAAUUUAUAGGCAACGAUGUCAAAAGCAAGUUGACGAUCCUACGGUUGUUAUCGCUCAUCGGUGUGUUUCUCGUGUUUCUUAAUCG
rnacentral:lncRNA from 1 species